AUUGAACGCUGGCGGAAUGCUUUACACAUGCAAGUCGAACGGCAGCACGGGUGCUUGCACCUGGUGGCGAGUGGCGAACGGGUGAGUAAUACAUCGGAACGUACCCAGUUAUGGGGGAUAACUAGCCGAAAGGUUAGCUAAUACCGCAUACGCCCUGAGGGGGAAAGCGGGGGACCGUAAGGCCUCGCGUAAUUGGAGCGGCCGAUGUCUGAUUAGCUAGUUGGUGAGGUAAAGGCUCACCAAGGCGACGAUCAGUAGCAGGUCUGAGAGGAUGAUCUGCCACACUGGAACUGAGACACGGUCCAGACUCCUACGGGAGGCAGCAGUGGGGAAUUUUGGACAAUGGGGGAAACCCUGAUCCAGCCAUUCCGCGUGAGUGAAGAAGGCCUUCGGGUUGUAAAGCUCUUUCGGCAGGGAAGAAACGCUCUGGAAUAAUACUCCGGGGUAAUGACGGUACCUGAAGAAGAAGCACCGGCUAACUACGUGCCAGCAGCCGCCGCAGUAA
rnacentral:rRNA from 1 species